rnacentral:rRNA from 1 species
GAUGAACGCUGGCGGCGUGCCUAAUACAUGCAAGUCGAGCGAAUAGACGAGGAGCUUGCUCCUCUGACGUUAGCGGCGGACGGGUGAGUAACACGUGGAUAACCUACCUAUAAGACUGGGAUAACUUCGGGAAACCGGAGCUAAUACCGGAUAAUAUAUUGAACCGCAUGGUUCAAUAGUGAAAGACGGUUUUGCUGUCACUUAUAGAUGGAUCCGCGCCGCAUUAGCUAGUUGGUAAGGUAACGGCUUACCAAGGCAACGAUGCGUAGCCGACCUGAGAGGGUGAUCGGCCACACCGGAACUGAGACACGGUCCAGACUCCUACGGGAGGCAGCAGUAGGGAAUCUUCCGCAAUGGGCGAAAGCCUGACGGAGCAACGCCGCGUGAGUGAUGAAGGUCUUCGGAUCGUAAAACUCUGUUAUUAGGGAAGAACAAAUGUGUAAGUAACUAUGCACGUCUUGACGGUACCUAAUCAGAAAGCCACGGCUAACUACGUG